AAAAGUUGUGUUUUUAACAUUUUCUAUAUCUUAUUUUAAAAGUUGAGAAAAUUUGGUAUUUUUGAGUGCUAAAAUAUUUAAUUCAAAUGUAAAAUGCGUGAUUUGACAGUUUUUUUCUCAGGUUGAAAUUGUUAUUUUAACAGUGAGAGCACUCAUAACAACACUUGUAAAAUAUUCGAAAUAACUUUUAUACAUCGUGUUUCUGGCAACAUUGACAACGAAAAAUAAUUCAACUGGCAGCACGUAACGAUCUGUCAAAACUGAAAAUAAAAACUGCAAUCAUAUUCUUAUUUCAAAAGUUUGUGCUAGAGGACAAAAAACAGCAUAAAGGUGCCAUUCUGCUGACCAUGGACAGAAAAUUCAUAAGAAGCAUGAGUCUGGAGAAAGUUUUUCCUGAGAUGGAUUGACAUAUGGGAGUUUGUAGUACAGUAGUCAGCAGGUCAAAAUACCGAAGAAGCUGCCUCUGCUUGGACGAAGCAGAUGCACCGAUUGUCGAUUGCUAGCGUCAACUGCAAAACUUGCUCAAAGUGCUAACCUGUCCGCUCACUGUCAUUAUCAGUCAAAUUAAUAAUCCAGAGAAGGAUCGUUGGGUCGAAUUAAGUGCGUUGGACGUCUUUUACGUGUUCAAUCGAUACCGUAGAAACAACAUCGCUGAAUUGUUUCGCACCGGUGGUGCCUUCUGGAGUCGGGAGAAUGCCUUCCAAUAUCGAAGGCACACUCUUGUUGUAUUGCUGCGACAAUCGGAAAAACUACUCAAGAACAUCAACACAGCGGGAAGAUAUAGAGCGAUACGUGCCAGCUUGUUCAGAUUCAUCGAACGCAUUAAAAAUAAAUACAAGUAGAAAAUAAAAUGAAAACAAAAUAAUAA